GAUGAACGCUAGCGGCAGGCUUAACACAUGCAAGUCGAGGGGUAAAUAUAGCAAUAUAUGAGACCGGCAAACGGGUGCGGAACACGUACUGAACCUACCUUUAUCUGGGGCAUAGCCCGGAGAAAUCCGGAUUAACUCCCCAUAGUAUCAUUGGAUGGCAUCAUUUGGUGAUUAAAAAUUUAUUGGAUAAAGAUGGCAGUGCGUCCCAUUAGCUAGUUGGUAGGGUAACGGCCUACCAAGGCGACGAUGGGUAGCUGGUGUGAGAGCACGACCAGCCACACGGGCACUGAGACACGGGCCCGACUCCUACGGGAGGCAGCAGUGAGGAAUAUUGGUCAAUGGACGCAAGUCUGAACCAGCCAUGCCGCGUGAAGGAUGAAGGCCUUCUGGGUUGUAAACUUCUUUUAUGUGGGAAGAAACCUCUGAUUUCUAUUAGAGUUGACGGUACCAUAGGAAUAAGCACCGGCUAACUCCGUGCCAGCAGCCGCGGUAAU
rnacentral:rRNA from 1 species